rnacentral:tRNA from 1 species
GCCUGGCUGGCUCAGUAAGUAGAGCAUGUGAUUCUUGAUCUUGGGGUUUUGAGUUAGAGCCCCACGUUGGGCA